AAAAAAAAACAGCAGCUUUCUCUCUCUCUCCCACUUGGACUCGCCGCCACCAGCCUCACCGCCGCCGCUCGCGGAGCGGCGGCGCUCCUCUCUCCUCUAUCUCUCUUCUCUCUUCACCGUCGCGCCGCCAUCCUCACCGUUUUCUCCGUCCAGCCGCCACCGCUGCGGGUCCGCCGUCGUCGCGGGUUCGCAUCCCCGCCGCCAUCACCGAGAAUCUUUCCUCCAGUCGCCGACGCCGUUUCCGACAUGUAGGUGAUUUCCAGAUUCAAGGAAAGAAAAGGAAGGAUGUGUUUUUGGAGCGUGGGCUGCCAUCGUCGGCGACGGAGUGCCGAGCUCGUUGCCGUAAGUUCCUCCGACAGGCUCCUAUGUCAUUUCAAGCUAAGUUCCCAUUAUUCAUUAAGAAUCUGAUAUUUUUAUGUUCUUUGGAUGCUAUGGCUUCUAUGUCCUUGAGGUGCUAAGAUGUCUAUAUGAAAUCCAUAUCAUGCUAAAUUGGUGAUAGGGCAGCAGAUUUUCGUCCCUAAAUUAAGUUUGUGUUCUUUGCUAGAGAUUGUUAUUUCUAUAUUUUCUUUGCUAUAGAUGCAAUUUGCUAGUAUUCGUCAGUGGCUAAAAUCUUGCCAUAUGCAUGUUGUGGAAAGAAGAAAAAAAACUUAUGUCGUUAUUCCUCACCUUUUUAUGUGUUAGGAAAAAGCUUCACUACAACUUUCCACUGAUGUGUACGUCCUCUUUCUUUUUCUGCUUUGUUGGAAUUGAUUUGGAUUAGUGUAUUGUUUGGUUGGAGGUGGGGUAGUGAAGGCGAUGGCUGAUUGGUAUGUAUAUAAUAGUACAACAAGUGGUAUGACAAAAUCCUCUCAAAUAUUCUUUUAGCAGAGAAAAUGAUGAUUACACCGACAUCCCAUUUAAUGCACCAUUAAAUGCUGUCAGAAGGAUUAUUUUUCUUUAGAAAAUUUUGGGUUGCAGCAUUAAAUGAUGUGUAUAAUCGGCUCAAGUUCGUGGCCGUCCAUGUAGAAGUGCCCGUCUUCUUAAAACAUACGAUGUAUUAAAUUUUGGUUGGACUUUUGUUGGAUGUAUCGGACAUCAAGAUUUUGAAUUUUGGGAUCUUAUUUAUUUAUUUAUUUAAAUUUAUUAUAUUCA